rnacentral:rRNA from 1 species
CGUGAGUAACCUGCCUUACACAAGGGGAUAGCCGUUGGAAACGACGAAUAAUACCCUAUGAAACCAUCAUAUCGCAUGAGGUGAUAGUCAAAGUGUUUAGCGGUGUAAGAUGGACUUGCGUCUGAUUAGCUAGUUGGUGAGAUAACAGCUCACCAAGGCAACGAUCAGUAGCCGGCUUGAGAGAGUGUACGGCCACAUUGGGACUGAGACACGGCCCAG